rnacentral:rRNA from 2 species
UGUGAAUUGCAGAAUCCCGUGAACCAUCGAGUCUUUGAACGCAAGUUGCGCCCAAAGCCAUUAGGCCGAGGGCACGUCUGCCUGGGCGUCA